rnacentral:lncRNA from 1 species
AGAGGUGUAUAUGUCCUAUUUAGGUUGUAGCACCUUGGAUAUAGGUAAAAAGAUAAGACUAAGGCCUCAAGGCCUCUUUAGACAACUCAUAUAUACUACUUAUGAGCCUAAGUGAGGCUUGAACUCUUGAUCUCUUAAAUAAGUUAUUCUUGAAAUAAAAAUUAUUUACUUAAUUUUUUUAUUAUUUUCAUUUUAUCUUUAAUUUAUCAUAACUUAUUGAUAAUAACUUGAAUUUAUAUGUAUUUUAUAUCAUUGAAAAGAUAAGAAAUUAUCUAUUUAAAAAUAUGUUUUUUAUUUUUUAUUUUUAUUUAUUAUUAAAUAAAAAUCUAAUAAGUAGAUUAUGACUAAUUUUUAUAAUAUAUAAUUGUUUGAUUAUACUUAUUUCACUUAUUUUGAAUUAUUCUUCUUUUAUUCUUAUUUUUGCUACUUUCACUUUAUACUACUAAUUACAAGUAACUACCAUGGAUAUACAUACGUUGUAGUGUUGUGAUUUAGCUACCAUGUGAAAAUAAUGUGAUUAUGUGUUUAAUGUACAAUUUACUUAACAAUAUGGUGACAGCCAUGUUACUGGAUUUUAAUUGGUUGUAGAAUGUGGUUAAAUUACUACUUUAUAAAGAGGUUGUUUAAAAAGAUUACUAUUAGAAUUUAU